CGUAGGGUGCGAGCGUUAAUCGGAAUUACUGGGCGUAAAGCGUGCGCGGGCGGUUUUGUAAGCCAGAUGUGAAAUCCCCGGGCUUAACCUGGGAAUGGCAUUUGGGACUGCAAGGCUGGAGUGUGGCAGAGGAGACUGGAAUUCCCGGUGUAGCAGUGAAAUGCGUAGAUAUCGGGAGGAAUACCGAUGGCGAAGGCAGGUCUCUGGGCUGACACUGACGCUCAUGCACGAAAGCGUGGGGAGCAAACAGGAUUAGAUACCCUGGUAGUCCACGCCCUAAACGAUGUCGACUGGUUGUUGGGGGUUUGACACUCUCAGUAACGAAGCUAACGCGUGAAGUCGACCGCCUGGGGAGUACGGCCGCAAGGUUA
rnacentral:rRNA from 1 species